AUUGAACGCUGGCGGCAUGCUUUACACAUGCAAGUCGAACGGCAGCACGGGCUUCGGCCUGGUGGCGAGUGGCGAACGGGUGAGUAAUGCAUCGGAACGUGCCCAUUUGUGGGGGAUAACUACGCGAAAGCGUGGCUAAUACCGCAUACGCCCUGAGGGGGAAAGCGGGGGAGUUCUUCGGAACCUCGCGCAAUUGGAGCGGCCGAUGUCAGAUUAGCUUGUUGGUGAGGUAAAGGCUCACCAAGGCGACGAUCUGUAGCGGGUCUGAGAGGAUGAUCCGCCACACUGGGACUGAGACACGGCCCAGACUCCUACGGGAGGCAGCAGUGGGGAAUUUUGGACAAUGGGGGCGAACCCUGAUCCAGCCAUGCCGCGUGAGUGAAGAAGGCCUCGGUUGUAAG
rnacentral:rRNA from 1 species